CUGCAACCGUGCAUAGCACCUAACUGGUACUCCUUGACAUGGUGACUUGCACGGAUAUAUCGUCUGGUGAAUGUAACUUUAUGCAAUAAGUCUACAACAGGAUUGCAACGAAUCUUUAUAAA